UUUGAAUGUCAUUUCCGACGAGUAUUCCCGAGAACCUAUACAAACACUUGUAAUAAAAAUAUUAGUAACGAAAUAAUUACAAAAAAGCAUGUGCACAUGUAUGUAUUUAAAAAAUAUAAAUAUUAUUAAAAAGCAGGCUCAGAUAAAGUUUUUUAAAAAAUAUAAAAAUUUCAUUAUUGCCCGAAUUUAUUCAUUUUAUUAUGUAUUUGUAUACGUAAUAUUCAUCUUUUAUUUGCAGAGGCCUCGAAAUUGAUGGAGAUUUUCUUCAUAGGCCAAGUGUCAACCUUUGAUAUAAAAUAAUAAUUUUGAUAAAAUAAAAUCCGUCUUUUGUAAUGGGAUGACCUCAAAUAUCCAAAUGGAGAAAUAAUUUUACUGGCCAACCGUCGGCCCUUAAGAUAAAAUAAUAAUUUUGAUAAAAUAAAGUCGUCUUUUGUGAUAGGGUGGCCUCAAACAUCCAGACGGAGAGAUAAUUUCAUUGACCAAAUAAAAAAGUUAAAUUUAAAAUAAAAUUUAUCUUUAUAAUAGGUAGACCUCGAAAAUUCAACCGAGAUAUUUUAUCAUUAUCAAUUAAACUAUUCAAUAUCCAACUAAAAUAAAAACUAAUAACAGAUCAACAAAACACAACUCAAGAAUUACAAAACAGAAUGAUAAUGUAAACAUUAUAACAAUUACGUAGGAAAAUGACAGUACAAAAAACUAAAAAUAAAAAUUAAAUCAAAUAUGUUUAAAAAUAAUGAAAGAAGUUGCAACAACACUAAGAGAAAAUAACAUUCUAAUAUUAACAUUAAACUUCGAACAAAGAAUCUCAAAGUAAAAGGUAUUAACAUUGUCAUAGACAUAAUUGAUCAAUUCAAGAACAAUUUGAAUAUAUGUAGACCCACAUGUAACAAUACGAAAAAUAAAAGUUGUGGAGGUCAAAUCUCGACGGGAUCUGAAUUUUACCGGAGUUAUGACUUGAGAUUACCGAAUUUUGUACUUCUCAGAUGUCGUUGUUGUUUGCCGUGGAGGUUGUUUGGGGAUGGAUAAACGGAAAGAAAGGAGGGAUGGGGGCGGCAGUGGGCUGCCGGACUUGAAACAGUGUACGGCGGCAUUUCGGUUGCUGGUUCUUCGGAAUCACUGGUUCGUUGUUGUCUGGAGCUCGCCGGUCAUCAACUCCAGCGAUCCAAUGGUGGAGCAGCGGGUAGAGGAGAAAGGACGAGCGGUGGUGGCGUUUUGGUGGUUUUUCGACGGUAAUGAAGGGAUGUAGGGAAGAAAGACAGAGAGGAGGAAGGGGGUGUGGUGGUGGUGCUAUCGGGAAAAAUCCACCAGAGCUCCAGUGGUGGUGGGGCGGCAGUGAAGGGAAAAGGGAGAGAGAAAAGACGAGAGAAAGUGAUGAGAGUGAGUGGGGAUUUGGUUUGUAUGUCGGUGUGUUAGUGUAUAAUACAUUAGUAUGUGUUUGUGUGGUGAAUGAGUAUUAAAAAGGAAAAUUAAUAAUAUAAAAAAAUAUAUUAAAUUUAUUUUUAUUCAAUAUAUUCCUUAAAUUUGGGAUAGUAGGUAAAAAUAAAGUUAAAAAAAUUAAAAGUGAUAAGACUUUUGACUUGACUAAUUUGUUAUUCUGUAUAUUAAAAUAAUUA
rnacentral:lncRNA from 1 species